CUCUCUACUCAUUGGCGGUAUCGUAGCCAAUGAGGUUAAUCCGAGGGGCGAUUAUUGCUAAUUGAAAAUCUAUUUUCUUUGUUAUCAAUUCUUUUUACAAGUAGGCUGAAGUCAAAACUG
rnacentral:snRNA from 1 species